rnacentral:tRNA from 1 species
GGGGGCAUAGCUCAAGUUGGGAGAGCAUCAGAUGGAAGUUCUGAGAAUCCACGUUCGAUUCGUGGUGCCCUCA